AUGGAUUCUUGGAACUUCAUCCUUUUGACUGGGGGUUGAUAGAAGUCUGAAACCAGAGAGUUCCCCUCCGUGCUGCCGUUUUCACUGUUGUUCUCGUUUGGGGCUUCACGUUUCCUGAGAGUCGUUGCCAGGACCAUAGCACUGUGGUGGUUAAUUCUCUUGAUGAUGGCGGCAUUUCUCUUCUGCUUUAUGGAUUUUGAAGAGUCGGAAGUAGAUGGCACAGGGGACACCCCAUAGCCCUCAUCUAAGGAUGUAUCGUCCAUAGCUGUCAAAUCUAGUAGUGGGUUUUUCACUCCUAGUGACAGCAUCGUUUCCCAACUCUUUUCAUCCAUUUGGGCACAUUCUGCAAAGAGAUCCCGUGAGCCCAUGUAAAGCCGAUCUCUAUGAAAGUAAUGGGAUUGCAAAAACCGUGCCCAGAACUCCUUUUUUGUCAUGUUCUUUGGAACGUUUUCUGCAUAUUUCGUUUUCACUGCUGGGUAGGUCCUCAAUACGGACUCAAUGAUGUCAGAAGUCAAGUUAUACUUCAGGCCAUCACGACCCUCUUUUGGAGGGCGGACAUCAGCCAGAAACGCCGCCGAAAUGCCCACAUCCUGUUUGUGAUUGGAUGCCGCAGGGCUCUCCACAGCAUUCCCGCUGAAACGAUUGGAUGCCGCAGGGCUCUCCACAGCAUUCCCGCUGAAACGAUUGGCCCAGAAUUCGUCAGCACUGAUCACCUGACUCACAACCAGGUCUUUAUAAAGCUGAAACAAAACGGGAUCUUCUUGCAGCCUUCUGUUUUUCUCUUUCAGUUCUUUCCUGGCUUUCCUGUGGAAUUUGGGCAGCAACUGCUGAAGAAGGUCCUUCACGGUAUUUCGAUCGCUUACAGCUGUGCUUCCAUUGGAAAAAUGGAAGUUAAUUUUGCCUCCCGCAUGUAGGACCAGCUGAAGUUGGAUUUUAGCUUUUUCUUCUCGGCUGAUUUUCUGGCAUUUAAUGUGCCUAUACAUAUGGCUGAUUGUAAAUGUGUCUUUGCCUUCAGGCGCCCAAGCGAUCCUUUCUGGCAUGAGAUACAAGGCUCCAUCUUGCUUCUUCUGACGCACCUUCUUUAUGAUCAGUAAAACUUCUUCUGAUGAAGUUGCCAUGUUGGCGGGAAGGUGUGUGCACAAGCUCCUGCCUGGGCCCUGAGGGAGGGCGGUGGGAGACCUCCCCUCAGUUGGUGAAGGAAGUUCUGUGGGGAGAGCUCCUCUCCGUUCUAGUCCUGAGGGAGGGUGGGUAGGGAGAGCCUCUCCACUCCAAAGGGAGGAUCAGUGGAAAGGUUCAGUCGCUAGAGCUCUGCUCCUCUCCGCACUUCACUACAACUGCCUAGGAUCUUUCCCAGCUACUAGAGACCCAGCCUUGUUGCUGGUUAUUUAAAGAGGCUACGAGUUAACACCUGGUAAUAGGAAGCUACGAGUUAACACCUGGUAAGAGGAGGUUACGAGUUAACGCCUGGUUCUAGGAACCUACGAGUUACCGCCUGGUUUGAUUCGGGGAAGAGUUACCACUUUCUUGAGAAGAGCCUGGGAAUCUUACCCAGAGAAAUUCUAAAUAGAAAAGUUUCCUUUGCCCAGAUUGCUCGAGGCAAAUUGACUAAGUGUCUCCUUUGUAAGUCAGACAAUCCCAAACUUUGAGGGAGGGAGCAAAAAAUUGUGGGUUGCUGCUAGUGAUGUGGAGGAGCUCAGGUAGACCUCUGUUAUUGGGGAAAAAAGAGAGGACCAGCCCAGUCCAGCGUCAGAAUGGAAUGCUAUGUGUCAGCUAAAAUGGAUGCAAAAGGGUUUCUUUUGAAAUUAGCAGAAGAAAUGACU
ensembl:lncRNA